rnacentral:rRNA from 1 species
AUACGGAGGGUGCAAGCGUUAUCCGGAUUCAUUGGGUUUAAAGGGUGCGCAGGCGGAAUGAUAAGUCAGUGGUGAAAUCCUACAGCUUAACUGUAGAACUGCCAUUGAUACUGUCAUUCUUGAGUACACUUGAAGUGGGCGGAAUGUAUCAUGUAGCGGUGAAAUGCAUAGACAUGAUACAGAACUCCGAUAGCGAAGGCAGCUCACUAAAUUGUAACUGACGCUCAGGCACGAAAGCGUGGGGAGCAAACAGGAUUAGAAACCCCAGUAGUCC